rnacentral:rRNA from 1 species
GAUGAACGCUGGCGGCGUGCUUAACACAUGCAAGUCGAACGAAGCAUUUGCGACAGAUUUUUUCGGAAUGAAGUUGCUUAUGACUGAGUGGCGGACGGGUGAGUAACGCGUGGGUAACCUGCCUUGUACUGGGGGAUAGCAGCUGGAAACGGCUGGUAAUACCGCAUAAGCGCACAAUGUUGCAUGACAUGGUGUGAAAAACUCCGGUGGUAUAAGAUGGACCCGCGUCUGAUUAGCUAGUUGGUGAGAUAACAGCCCACCAAGGCGACGAUCAGUAGCCGACCUGAGAGGGUGACCGGCCACAUUGGGACUGAGACACGGCCCAGACUCCUACGGGAGGCAGCAGUGGGGAAUAUUGCACAAUGGAGGAAACUCUGAUGCAGCGACGCCGCGUGAGUGAAGAAGUAAUUCGUUAUGUAAAGCUCUAUCAGCAGGGAAGAUGGUGACGGUACCUGACUAAGAAGCUCCGGCUAAAUACGUG